AACCAUAGAAACCUGCGGAGUACCUGCGGAGGGAUCAUUACGAGAGUGUCACCACUCCCAACCACUGUUUACCUACCCGUCCACCGUGCCUCGGCAGGCAGCCCUGUGGGACAGAGCCUCGCCCCCCGCUGGGGGGGUGCCUGCCGCCGGCCGACCAAAAACUCUAGCUGUUUAGUACCAUCUGAGUCUUCCACAAAUGAACAAAACUUUCAACAAUGGAUCUCAGAUCGGAAGAGCACA
rnacentral:misc_RNA from 1 species